rnacentral:tRNA from 1 species
GGGCGAUUAGUUUAGUGGUAGAACAGCGGUCUCCAAAACCGCUGGCGGGAGUUCGAUUCUCUCAUCGCCCG